UCCAAGUGCUCUCGGAGCAUGCGACGCGAACAAACCUUAGGACAACCGAGCUCUCUGGCGAUUCGGUGCUCAACGAUCGUGAAUCCGUGACGUUUAAUUGAAGACUCGGAAAUCUAAAGGUCACACAAUUGAGAAAAAGAAGAAGAGCGGCCCGAGUACGUGUGUCUAUUCAUUAGCGGGCACCGAGGAGGAGGAGGAGGAGGAGGAGCACCGAGAUCCGGGGAAUCCGACGAUAUCUACGGGCGCGUUACAGUGAUUUUCCUCGCACGUUCAUUAGACGAGACAAUUGCGCGCAUUAUUCCGCAACGCUCCAGUGCGACAGUGAGUGCAAUGAGAAACAUUAAAGAGCAUUGAGGAUAACUGAGGAACGGCGAAGAGCUCGAGGAACAUUAUUGAGCACCGAGGUUGUACAUCUAGCGAGAUCUAUAUUGAGGACAGCGGGGAGGAUUCUUUCGUAUCGGUGCGCGUGCACAUCAUCGAUCUUAGAUACUGUUGGACGAUGGUGGAGGCGCUCGCUUGUAUACAGAAUUAAUCCAAUUUCUCAUGGGCACGCCCGCCUUUCUCGGGAACAACGCGCGUCAUUCCACCUUGCGCUCCGUUCCCUCAUUUUUUAUUCAACAGACAAAACGGCCCCGACACUGGGCGCUAUCGCCGUGAUGUCCCACAGAGGUACAAUAAUGAUUGGACUUGGGGUAUCGCAUUUUCUAACGCCGGGAAUUACAAAAGGACUCCUUCAAACAACGGUCGCAAAUUAAUCUCUAGUGCGCGGAACUUACGCGGCAUAUAGAGGACAGUUUCGCAUUCGGGUAUAUAUGCGGUGCUUCGUGAGCCGAAAGCGGAAGCGCGCUCGAACGCAGUAGCAGUAGCAGUAACAGCAGCAGCGAAUCUUACAGUUGCAGUGUAGAGGUAACAACAGAAGUACCCAACUAUUCGCAUUACACACAAGGCACGGACGAUCAGCGAUAUUUGCCACGAAACGGAACAUUCGGUAUUCCGAUUUAUUCGAGGUAAAAACGAACGAUGCGAAUCGAUACGCGGAUCACCCACGCAAUCGUCUGGUUAAUUGGAAAAAAAAAGUUAGGACGAGUUUCGUUUCAUUUCUCGCUCGCCGACUUAUGGCAACAAUUUUCCCGCGAAACUUUUUCCAUUAAUUCGUUGCCGGCGCGAUGGCACACAACUUCAUCGGUCAAGAGCUCUAGCGGCACGAUUUCAUCCGUCUGGAUUAAUAGAAACCUCGAGCCUUUCAAAUCGAACUCUCAAGGUCGCGCAUUAUGGACGAGAAUCGAAUUGAAAUUCUUGGAAAUUUUGCGCUCUUAAAAAGGAUUACGGACGCCGCGCCGUGUGCAUUACGCUCCUUUUCUCGCAAUGAAACUCAGUGGAGCGCGUUGUUUCUACUGUAGAAAGAAUUUUAUUUUACCUAUCAAUGACUUGAUCUUCGCAAAGACAUUGAUUACAACGAUCUUGAUUACAACGCGCAAUGUACUUGAGCCAAAUAAGGCUCAGUACUAACUAAGGCCCAUUUAAAAAUCCACUUUAUGAUUAGAAUGCACGAUUACAAAAUGUGUCAUGAAGUAAGUAAAGAGUUUACUGUAACAAAAAAUUUUGACAAAAUGGAUAAAUGAGCCGUUUUUAUAAAAAAAAAGAGC